CAGGGAUUGCAGAAUCCAAAAAGAGAUAAAGUGGUUCCAGAAGGGUAAUAUUUCCAGAACAAAGCAAAGCUUACCCUCACCUGUGAGUGUAAAACUAACAUCCUCACUGUUGAUCCAACACAGUUUUCACAAUAAUGCCAGCUCCUAGAGUAAGGAGGGACUCAGUGCUUGGAAAGGGGACUGUCACCUGGGAAUUGGUAACCAAACCUCAGAUCCUGGAGGACUCAGCACCAUUUGUGGAAGUUGUCAACUCUGCUGAGACACAACAAGGCCCUACUACUUUAACACCAUUUUCAAACAGUUUGAGGUUCACCUACUGUAUUGUCCUGUCAGUAGGGUUGCCAGAUUUAGCAAAAAACAAAACCCCAAACAGGUUGCCCAGUUAAAAUCUGAGCUUCAGAUAAAAGAACAAUUUUUAGUAUAACACACAGAAUACAUUUCUAAGGAAAAAAAUUAUUUUCUCUUCUUGACUCUAUAUUUUACUCUAUAUUUUCGGAUUUGUGUUCUGAAGAAUACUACUAUGUAUGGGAUGGUAAUAGGUGCUCCAUAAAAGAGUUCUGUGGACAAAUCAGUUUGAAACUCUUUGGCUAAACAAAGGCACCUUAUUUUGUGUGUGUGUGUGUGUGCACGUGCAAGUGUGCAUGUGCAUGUGUGUCUGUGCGCACACAGAAUUAAACUGCAGGACAUUUCAGAGCCUUGUCUUUGUCUUGUCAAUAUGCACUGAACUCUUGUGGGAGAUACUUGAUGCAGUGAAGUCCGAACUCAUUUGACUACGGAUCUGCCAAGGAACCUAGUUUGGGAAAUGGUGUCCUGGAUAGAUGCCUUUUUUUAAUGGAAUGUUUUUACAGAAAAAUUACUUUGUCACCAUUUCCUAUAACCUUAGGUUGUUUAUAUUUGUAAUAUUGCCAAUGUUUUGAAUAAAAGCAAAUAAUUUGCAAAAAUGUCAGGGAAGAUUUUUCUUUUUCAGGUAGCUCCAAGGAUGAGAAGGAAAUGCAUUAAUUUUCUAAGCUUCCUGUGAAUGUUAUAUUUCUUACUGCCACU
rnacentral:lncRNA from 10 species